AUAAAGAAUAAUUAGUGGCAGACGGGUGAGUAAUGCAUAGGAAUCUACCUAGUAGUAUGGGAUAGCCACUAGAAAUGGUGGGUAAUACUGUAUAAUCCCUGCGGGGGAAAGAUUUAUCGCUAUUAGAUGAGCCUAUGUUAGAUUAGCUAGUUGGUAGGGUAAAGGCCUACCAAGGCGAUGAUCUAUAGCUGGUCUGAGAGGAUGAUCAGCCACACUGGAACUGAGAUACGGUCCAGACUCCUACGGGAGGCGGCAGUGGGGAAUAUUGGACAAUGGGCGCAAGCCUGAUCCAGCUAUGCCGCGUGAGUGAGGAAGGCCUUAGGGUUGUAAAACUCUUUCAGUAGGGAAGAUAAUGACGGUACCUACAGAAGAAGUCCCGGCAAACUCCGUGCCAGCAGCCGCGGUAAUACGGAGGGGGCAAGCGUUGUUCGGAAUUAUUGGGCGUAAAGGGCAUGUAGGCGGUUCGGUAAGUUAAAGGUGAAAUGCCAGGGCUUAAC
rnacentral:rRNA from 1 species